rnacentral:rRNA from 1 species
AGCCACGCGAGUUGAACGCUUCCCUGUUGCGGGAGGCGUGGCGUACGGCUCAGUAACACGUAGUCACCUGCCCGGAGACAAGUAUAACCCCGGGAAACUGGGAUUAAUCCUUGAUAGGUCAUCUCAGCUGGAAGGAGAGAUGGCUUAAAGGGGUGCGAGAGCUUCUUUCUUGUACCCGCUCCAGGAUGGGACUGCGGCCGAUCAGGCUGUUGGUGGGGUAAUGGCCCACCAAACCUGUAACCGGUACGGGCCUUGAGAGAGGGGGCCCGGAGAUGGACACUGACAGAAGGGUCCAGGUCCUACGGGGCGCAGCAGGCGCGAAACCUUCACAAUGCGCGAAAGCGUGAUGAGGUUAAUUCGAGUGGUCCCCGCCUGACGGGAUCUUGUGUCGGCGUGUAAGAGGGGCGGUGAGUAAGGGGGAGGGGCCACUUUGGUGUCAGCCGGCCGUGGUAA